GACGAACCGAGCGAACGUUGUUCGGAAUCACUGGGCUUAAAGGGCGCGUAGGCGGGCUGUCGCGUCCGGGGUGAAAUCCCGCGGCUCAACCGCGGAACGGCCUCGGAUACGGGCGGCCUCGAGGGGGGUAGGGGCAUCUGGAACUGUGAGUGGAGCGGUGAAAUGCGUUGAUAUUCACAGGAACUCCGGUGGCGAAGGCGAGGUGCUGGACCCCAUCUGACGCUG
rnacentral:rRNA from 1 species